AUCAUGACCUAAGCUGAAAUCCAAAGCUGAAUGCUUAACCAACUGAGCCAGCCAGGCAUCUACCUCCCUUGACUUCUAUACCAGAUGUAAUGUCCAUCACAAUAAAUUCUCCUCUCGCUUUCCCUAUGUCUUCUUCUUACCUCUCCAGAAAGCCAACCUCUUUCUUGGGCAUCUUGCAUAUUUUAUUUAACAAACAAAUAACACUUACCUUGUACGAGAGCCUGUUGUGAGCCCUUACAAAUACUAAUUAAUUAGUUAGUUUAUUACAAGCAUUAAGUGAGAACAUUAUGCCUACUUUGCAACCAGGAGAACUGAAGUUCGGAGAGGUUAAGUGAUUUGCCCAAGAUCACAAACUAGUAAUGGACUGAGUCAUUUCCAAUCCUAAAUUGAUGCCUUUCUCCCAAAUACAUCCACUUAACUAUCCUAAAACUAACCCUCUCCAUCUCCUCUCCCCGUUUAUUUGUAACCUGGCUAUUUCUUUGUGAUCACUCAUUUCUGCCCAUGGCCCUCUUUCUCCAUUUGCCAGUUCGAGACGUUUGGAGUCAUCUAGGGUGGGAAAAGCAGGAAACCUGCAUUCUGGCUCCAGCUUUUCACAAACCGCGGGACCCAGAGCCAGUCACCCCCCGCUGGGCUGACGCCAUCUGCUUGCCUCCCUCUGAACUCUGAACGCGUCAGCUCUAACUUCUUCCUCUUCUUUACCCUUUGGGUCUCAUGGUCCACCAAGCCCUGUUAUUUAUACUUCAGAAACCUCAUUCCUACUUACUGUUUUUGUCCUUGCUCCUGCCCCUUUGGCCUCAGCAAUCAACGUCCGGUAACAGCACAAAGAAAAGUUUUUAAUGGCCUCCCUGCCUGUCGCUUCUUUUUAUUCUGAUUGAAGCAAACUCUACCGUUGUAUGAAUUUUACUAAGACACUUGUUUCAUCAUCUUCUUUCCCUGCUUAGUUAACUUUAGUGACUUCCCAUAGCGCUACAACCAAGUGGGUUCUCUGCAACUGGUUUGUGUAUAGGCCCACCCUAUGUAACUAAUUCUGACCCUCACCUCUCUGUAGAAGCAAAGAAGAUCUGGCCUGGGGCCUUCCUUGCUGGUGUCAUUUUUCCUGUCUUCCUCAUGGCUGAAGUCCUAGCCAGUCUCUCCUGAUCCUUCAAAGUUUGAAUGGAGUUUAUACCUCCACCUCUACCUGAAGGAGCCUGUCUUUCAAUGGGACAGCACCUUGAACUAGCUAGAAAGGGUAGGUCAUCGCCAAAGAACACACCCUAGUGGAAUUUAAGAACACACCCUAGUGGAAUUUAAGGUCCACAGGACUGCAGAGCAAAGUCUGAUCAUUUGCACAACUCCUUCUUUAUUUCCCGAGCCUUUUAAGAUUGUGUUCAUCUGUCACCUUCUGAGAGCAUCUGUUUAACACUGGAAUGCCCCUUUCUCAGCUCUGAUACUUCUAACUCCAUCUCCAAUUUUGUUUUUCUCUAUAGGACUUUCUCACUAUCUGACAUACUCUAAGACUUAUUAAUUUAUGUUUAUUAUCCCUCAUGCUUCUAGAAUAUGAUUCCAUAAGUGCAGAGAAUUUUGUUUUACCCACUGCUCUACCUCCAUUGCCUAGAACAAUGCUUGAUGCAUAGUAAGUGUUUGACAAGUACUCAUUGAAUAAAUAAAUGCACACUUGACUCAGUAUUGAGCACAGACCACACACUCAGUAUUUGUUAAAGUGAACUUGGAUGGGAGUGAUCGAGUUUCCUGUGUCUUUAGGAAGAAAGUAAGACUCUUUUCCUAUUCUCUUGAGUUUUUCAGCUGUGCCUUUGUCUGAAAUCUCUGUAUUUCUCUCUUGGGUGGAGAAAUGAAACCAGCAGGUAGAUUAUUACAAGAAAGUAUAUAUUUGUAUUACUGUUUUGUCAUUGACAACAGAUACAGAGAGAUUCGCGUGCUGGCAUUUAAAUCCAGCCAUAAUUCAAACAUAAGAAUUGGGAUUUCUAUUUUUCUCCACUUUAUUCCUUGUACUGUCACAAGAAAUCUACAUUACUGAGUGGUGACCAUGCAUGUGUCAGGCUCUGUGCUAAGGGAUACUACGGGCAAAACAAUGAACAAUACUUGCUCCCGGACUUCGCAGAACUCAGGGUCUAGGAACGCAAAAGCGUUACAAAGGAAAGAAGCAGCUUGGGUUCCUGUGACAAGGCAGGGAAGUUUUGUUUCCCAAAACUCUGGUGAAUGCGGAAACACAGAGGGGAAGUGAUUUAUUCUAGUGGAAAGGGUGUUGGCAGAGGGUCGGACGCUGAGGAAGAGUGACUUAACUCACGCAGUGACACGGGGACUGGGUCUUAAACAACAAGGAAGCAUUCGCCGGGCAGAGAAGGGCGUUCAGGACGUCGCAGGCACAAGGAGCACUGCGUGUCAAAGCGGAGGGCCCAGACCCUCCAUGGUCCAUACCAGGAAUGAAAAGUACAAGGGGAGCUGCCCAGCACAGAGGGAAGUGGUGAGAAAGGAGGUGGGCGGGGCCUGAAUAGGACCAGCCUGUCGAAGAGUUGAGAUUUUCUUCUACCAGGUGGUGGUUGCUGUUUCUGUAUCUAGGUCAUCGUCUCCUGGGGGUUGAUGCCUCUUGCUACCUGGAGGUGCGUGGUGGGGACCAUCCAGUAGAGGACAGACCCAGCGUGGUGAGGAUGAGGCCUCCUGGAUCCGGCGCUGCCACCCCCAUCUUUCGCACCCUGCGCACACGCACUGGACACGAAUGAAGACCUACACAGUUCUCUACAGAAGGAUUUAGGCAGGUUUCCAAGAGUCACAUCGGAUAGGGAGAGAAGUCAGGCGUGGUGCUCUGGUCUGGUUCCUUCCGCCUCUUACUGGAGUGCCUCACUGGGGUGCCUCACUGGGGUACAGUCAUUGCCUCAUUCCUGACCUCAGCUCUCUCACUGACUUCCCUUAGGCCACCCCCACUGAUCCACUUCCCCAUCAGUCUGUUUUCUUCUCCCUAAAGAAAAAAAUCAUACCUGGAGAGGAGUGGGUGAUCGUGGUUGGCUUAGAAGAGCUCCGACUCAUUCUCCUGAGCUACCGAAGGAGAAGAGGGACAAAGGGGCGGGUAGCUGGUGUAGACAGUGAAGACAACCCACCAUAUUCACACUGUUGAGAAGUUGAGUAAGAUGAUGCCCAUGAAGGACAGAGCAUACUGCUGGACAGUCGCUAUCGUCUCAGGGCAUCUACUUCCGGUUUCCUACAGCUACGGUCCUCUGCUUUCUAAGGGAUCCUACUGGACAAGACCCCAAAUGACCCUUAGUUGAAUCUCACCCCUGCGGUCCUGACCCACUGAAAAUGCUCAUGAAAAGUCCCGCUUGAUCCUAACACAGCCUCUACCUUGGUGCCCCAGGCUGCUUGAACAUCUGUGGUCCGGAGUCGGGCUA